rnacentral:rRNA from 1 species
GAUGAACGCUAGCGGGAGGCUUAACACAUGCAAGGUCGAGGGGUAAAUGGUAGCAAUACUAUGAGACCGGCGGACGGGUGCGUAACCGUAUGCAACAUACCUGUGCAGGGGGAUAGCCCGUGGAAACGCGGAUUAAUAUUCCAUAGUCCAGCUAUAUCGCAUGGUAUAGUUGGUAAAGAUUUAUCGGCACAAGUUUGGCAUGCGUCUGAUUAGCUUGUUGGUAGGGUAACGGCCUACCAAGGCUACGAUCAGUAGGGGUUCUGAGAGGAUUAACCCCCACACUGGUACCGAGACACGGACCAGACUCCUACGGGAGGCAGCAGUGAGGAAUAUUGGUCAAUGGGCGGAAGCCUGAACCAGCCAUCCCGCGUGAAGGAAGACAGCCUUACGGGUUGUAAACUUCUUUUCUGUCAGAAGAAUAAGCUUGUCGAGACGAGUGAUGCCGGUAUGACAGGAAUAAGCAUCGGCUAACUCCGUG